GCAAGUCGAACGAGAAAUCUUGGUUUCGACCGGGAGAGUAAAGUGGCGCACGGGUGCGUAACGCGUGGAUAAUCUACCCUUGAAUCUGGGAUAACAUUGCGAAAGCGAUGCUAAUACCGGAUGAUAUCCGUUUUUCUUCGGGACGACGGAUCAAAGACGGCCUCUACCUGAAAGCCGUUGUUUGGGGAUGAGUCCGCGUACCAUUAGCUAGUUGGUGGGGUAAUGGCCCACCAAGGCUUCGAUGGUUAGCUGGUCUGAGAGGAUGAUC
rnacentral:rRNA from 1 species